rnacentral:rRNA from 1 species
UACGUAUGGUGCGAGCGUUGUCCGGAAUUAUUGGGCGUAAAGGGUACGUAGGCGGUUAAACAAGUCAGAUGUAAAAACUUGAGGCUCAACCUCAUGUAGCAUUUGAAACUGUAUAACUUGAGUAGUGGAGAGGAAAGUGGAAUUCCUAGUGUAGCGGUGAAAUGCGUAGAUAUUAGGAGGAAUACCAGUAGCGAAGGCGACUUUCUGGACACAAACUGACGCUGAGGUACGAAAGCGUGGGGAGCAAACAGG